CAUGCAGCAAUGGGGUCCCUCGGUCUGGCCUGCAGGAUUGAGCUGAAACUGGCUCUCCAACAUCCCCCUGAGGGGUCCCGGAAUGCAAGAGGGUGCAGGCCAGGCCGAGGGACCUCACCGGUGCACA
rnacentral:pre_miRNA from 1 species